rnacentral:rRNA from 1 species
CCCUUAGAUGUUCUGGGCCGCACGCGUGCUACACUGAGUGGAUCAGCGGGUCAGGUUGCGCGAAAGCGUUUCCUAAUCUUUAAAUCCGCUCGUGAUGGGGAUUGACGGUUGCAAUUUUCUGUCAUGAACGAGGAAUACCUUGUAAGCGCGGGUCAUCAUCCCGCGCUGAAUACGUCCCUGCCCUUUGUACACACCGCCCGUCGCUCCUACCGAUUGAGUGGUCCGGUGAAUUAUUCGGACUGCAACGCGUUCAGUUUCUGGGUGCAGUUGCGGAAAGUUUUGUGAACCUUACCACUUAGAGGAAGGAGAAGUCGUAACA